CUCACCGUGUGCUCAGAACUUGGACAACGCUGGUCACUGGUCACCAGAGGCUUGUCUUUAACAGCACUGAAUACAUGUCAACUGUCGUUUCUAAGAAGAGACACCUCCCCCAUGCCUUAGGGAUACACAGCUGACUUGGGAGGAUUGAUGUGAAUGUUACAUGAGGCCACGUUCUCCUCCUUGCUCUCUCAUUGGUCUUUGGUGGGUACCAGACUCAGCAGAAGAGGCUGCAAGGCUUCUGGCCUCACAAACCACCUUGCCCUUGCUUGUCCCAUUGGCUCCAUCUUGGAGAACCAUCUUACCAUCAGUCAAUCAUGUUCCCCUGCCUCACGCCAAUGCUGCAUUGAGGUCCCACUGCCAAACCGUAUCGCUUUUAGCCCUGGAGAUGUCCCAGCUCCUCCCUGAGGUCUCGAUGGAAUGGUCAUGUAGCUUCUCUUGUGUUUGUCCGAGGAGUAUGGCCUUCAUCCUUGAGAAUAAAUAGACUGACCCUGCCAGAGGCCAUGAGCAUCUUUUAUAUAAGACCUUCUCUGAUACAACCAAUCUGACAGCCACUCCGGGGCCAGGAGGCUCCAAAUGUGAUGUCUGCUGGCUGCUGCUCGGAAGAAACACUUUCAUCUUCUCUAAAAUGCCUGCGCACUCAUUCUUGCCAUCAGCCUGCCUCAGUACUACCAUACGUUCUGGAACGCAACAUCAGAUGAGCUCCUUUCAUCCAAGUGAUUUCUAUACACAGGAGAUGCCCAGCCCAGGCUCUGACUGUUUCAAAUGACAGGACUUGCCUCCAGUCCUGGUCCAAUUCCCUGCCUCCAGGAACUUUCCGUCGAUCUUCAGGUCAAGUUUUUCUCCUCCAUCCCCAUGUUCCCCAGCACUCUGCUCUGCAGAUCUGCCCUCAGUGCUGGAAAUGGGAAGAGGAGGAAAUUCUAGAUCCCUGCUCUUGGAGAUGGACAGUGGAGUUUCCCAGAGGCGAGCGUCCACAGACUGAACACGGAGUGGAUGAUGAGCGAAUCCAGGGACUUCCAGAACUGAGAGGAACACAACCUGACCGUUACGAUGCACCACGAAAAGUACAUGAAAAGAGGCAAUGGAGACACCUGACCUCUCUGACCUCGGUCCUUCACCUAUCGGAUGAGUAUAGCACUGCAUAACCAAAGAUUCUUCCUGAUCUAAAACCCCAGUCCUGCAUUCACCUGUUAUCCAUCCUCUCAGAAACCAGGUUUCGAGUUUGAGGGUCAUGUGUCAUCAUCAUUAACCUUGGAGGAGCUGUGUUAUGUGAGCAAUAAUAUUCCCAGCUUAUCAGUGGAGCCACUGGGACCUGGGCAGGCUCAGCCUUCCCUUCCUCUUUCUCAAUGGGCAUGGCCACGCCCAGGAGGCUUUACUGAGGGAAACCCAUUUCUAAGCAUCAGGCCUGAAGGCAGCAGGAUGGAGACACAGCAACAGUGAUGAACAUGGCCUAUUUGAGGAGCCUGCUGGCCACCAGGAGGACAGAAGGCUUCCUCAAGUCAUGGACUUCCAGUCUUCAAUUUGGCUAAAGCUGGUCCAGAUGACCAAGGAAAGAACAAUCAUGGUAGACGGAUGCCAGCAAGGGUGGUUAAGGAGCUCAGAGCAACUGUUCAAGGCUUAGUCUGAGCCUAGAUGGAUAAAGUCAAUAAAAGAAGGAGUACUACUCUGUAACGGCGCUCGGAGUCCCCUUCUCUGUCAGCCCCCACUUCUGUUCAUGCAAUUUUUAAAAUUCAAGGAAGCAUACACUUGUAGAAGAAGUCAGAAAUCAUCUGGUCCAACAUUUACCCUUUCAGAAGAGACCCAGGGAGCUUCUCUACUUUCCAAAAAAACAUACAGCUGGUUCUAUCAAGGGGAACAAACCAGUCAAUCCUAAAGGAAAUCAACCCUGAAUAUUCAUUGGAAGGAUGGAUGCUGAAGCUGAAGCUCCAGUACUCUGGCCACCUGAUUCGAAGAACUGACUCAUUGGAAAAGACCCUGAUGCUGG